rnacentral:rRNA from 1 species
UGGGGAAUCUUGCGCAAUGGGCGAAAGCCUGACGCAGCGACGCCGCGUGAGUGAUGAAGGCCUUCGGGUUGUAAAGCUCUGUGGAGCGGGACGAAUAAGUCGUGGCCAACAUCCACGAUGAUGACGGUACCGCUUUAGCAAGCACCGGCUAACUCUGUGCCAGCAGCCGCGGUAAGACAGAGGGUGCAAACGUUGUUCGGAAUUACUGGGCGUAAAGCGCGUGUAGGCUGCUUCGAAAGUCGGAUGUGAAAGCCCUGGGCUCAACCUAGGAAGUGCAUUCGAAACUUCGAAGCUGGAGUCCUGGAGAGGAAGGCGGAAUUCUCGGUGUAGAGGUGAAAUUCGUAGAUAUCGAGAGGAACACCGGUGGCGAAGGCGGCCUUCUGGACAGUGACUGACGCUGAGACGCGAAAGCGUGGGGAGCAAACA